rnacentral:rRNA from 1 species
UCCAGACUCCUACGGGAGGCAGCAGCGGGGAAUAUUGGGCAAUGGGCGCAAGCCUGACCCAGCAACGCCGCGUGAAGGAAGAAGGCUUUCGGGUUGUAAACUUCUUUUCUGAGGGACGAUAGUGACGGUACCUCAGGAAUAAGCCACGGCUAACUACGUGCCAGCAGCCGCGGUAAUACGUAGGUGGCAAGCGUUAUCCGGAUUUAUUGGGUGUAAAGGGCGUGUAGGCGGGAAUGCAAGUCAGAUGUGAAAACUAUGGGCUCAACCCAUAGCCUGCAUUUGAAACUGUAUUUCUUGAGUGCUGGGGAGGCAAUCGGAAUUCCGUGUGUAGCGGUGAAAUGCGUAGAUAUACGGAGGAACACCAGUGGCGAAGGCGGAUUGCUGGACAGUAACUGACGCUGAGGCGCGAAAGCGUGGGGAGCAAACAGGAUUAGAUACCCUAGUACGG